GAUGAAGAACGCAGCGAAAUGCGAUAAGUAAUGUGAAUUGCAGAAUUCAGUGAAUCAUCGAAUCUUUGAACGCACAUUGCGCCCGCCAGUAUUCUGGCGAGCAUGCCUGUUCGAGCGUCAUUUCAACCAUCAAGCCCCAGGCUUGUGUUGGAGCCCUGCGGCUGCCGCAGCCUCCCAAAACCAGUGGCGGGCUCGCUAUCACACCGAGUGCAGUAGUUUACUCUUCGCUCAGGGCGUGUGGCGGGUGCUAGCCGUGAAACCCCCAACUUCUCAAGGUUGACCUCGGAUCAGGUAGGAAUACCCGCUGAACUUAAGCAUAUCAAUAAGCGGGG
rnacentral:misc_RNA from 1 species